UACGUAGGGAGCAAGCGUUGUCCGGAAUCAUUGGGCGUAAAGCGCGCGUAGGUGGCCCAGUAAGUCCGUUCUGAAAGUCACAGGCUCAACCUGUGAACGCGGAUGGAUACUGCUGGGCUAGAGUCCGGAAGAGGCGAGUGGAAUUCCUGGUGUAGCGGUGGAAUGCGCAGAUAUCAGGAGGAACACCAACGGCGAAGGCAGCUCGCUGGGACGGUACUGACACUGAGGCGCGAAAGCGUGGGGAGCGAACAGG
rnacentral:rRNA from 1 species